UACAAACUCUGUGGGCCAAUCUCCAUAGGGUGAUACUAUCGCGGCGAUAGUUUGUAUCGAAUUUUGUCACACGGCGAGACUAUCGCCACGAUUUUCUCAGACAAAGUAUCAA